CCUACGGGCGGCAGCAGUCGAGAAUCAUUCACAAUGGGGGAAACCCUGAUGCAGCGACGCCGCGUGUGGGAAGACGGUUCUCUGGAUUGUAAACCACUGUCCCCAGGGACGAAGAUGACGGUACCUGGGGAGGAAGCCCCGGCUAACUACGUGCCAGCAGCCGCGGUAAUACGUAGGGAGCAAGCGUUGUCCGGAGUUACUGGGUGUAAAGGGGGCGUAGGCGGGAUGGCAAGUUGGGUGUUAAAUCUACCGGCUCAACUGGUAGUCGCACUCAAAACUGCUAUUCUUGAGUGAAGUAGAGGCAGGCGGAAUUCCUGGUGUAGCGGUGAAAUGCGUAGAUAUUAGGAGGAACACCAGGGGCGAAGGCGGCCUGCUGGGCUUUUACUGACGCUGAGGCUCGAAAGUGUGGGGAGCAAACAGGAUUAGAUACCCGUGUAGUC
rnacentral:rRNA from 1 species